UGAGGAGCCAAGAUGUGCAGUUGUCUUAUAAUUGGGUUGUUUAAAUCAUUUAUGUGUAAUAUGAAUAUAGCUAUAGUUGGGUUUAAAUCCAUCAUCUUAUCUCUUUUCCAUUUGUUGCUUGUAUUCGUUGUUUCCUUUUUCCUCUUUUCUAUUUUUGGAUUAGAAAUUGUUUUUUACAUUUUAAAAAGUGUUUUCUCUCUCUCCCCACCCCCCUUUUUUAAGAGACAGGGUCUCAUUCUGUUGCUCAGACUGGAGUGCAAUGAUGUGAUCACAGCUCACUGCAGCCUCAAAUUCCUGUGCUCAAGCGAGCCUCUCUGCAUCAGCCUCCAAGGUAGUUGGGACUACAGGUCUCACGUCACCCAGGCUGAAGGGCAGUGGCACGAUCAUGGCUCACUGCAGUCUUGACCUCCUGUGCUCAAGCAAUCUUCCCACUUCAGCUUCCUGAGUAGGUGGGACCACAGGCAUGCACCACGCAUGCUCAGGUCAUCCAAGGAAACACAUCUACAAAAAUUGGCUCAAAGGCUUAAACUUGUGUCAGUACAACUAUGAUGAUGAGCUGCUACCUAGACAGAGUCUCACCAUGUUGCCUUGGCUGGUCUUAAACUCCUGGACUCAAGUGAUCCUCCCGCCUCAGCCUCCCAAAUUGUUGGGAUUACAGAAAAAAAGCCAUGUAAGGACACAGUAACAAGGCAGUAGUCUACAAGCCAAGAAGAGAGGCCUCACCACAAGCCAGCCCUGACAGCACCUUGAUCUUGGACGUCUAGCCUCCAGAACUGUAAGAAAAUAAAUCUCUAUUGCUUAA